CCAACGGCCCUCUUUAGGGCCACGAAUCUCUAAAUUGGAUGUACCU
rfam:Syphacia muris strain Valencia genome assembly, scaffold: SMTV_contig0000838